CGGUCCAGACUCCUACGGGAGGCAGCAGUGGGGAAUAUUGCACAAUGGGCGCAAGCCUGAUGCAGCCAUGCCGCGUGUGUGAAGAAGGCCUUCGGGUUGUAAAGCACUUUCAGCGGGGAGGAAGGCGGUGAGGUUAAUAACCUUGGCGAUUGACGUUACCCGCAGAAGAAGCACCGGCUAACUCCGUGCCAGCAGCCGCGGUAAUACGGAGGGUGCAAGCGUUAAUCGGAAUUACUGGGCGUAAAGCGCACGCAGGCGGUCUGUCAAGUCGGAUGUGAAAUCCCCGGGCUCAACCUGGGAACUGCAUUCGAAACUGGCAGGCUAGAGUCUUGUAGAGGGGGGUAGAAUUCCAGGUGUAGCGGUGAAAUGCGUAGAGAUCUGGAGGAAUACCGGUGGCGAAGGCGGCCCCCUGGACAAA
rnacentral:rRNA from 1 species